UUUGUUGCUCUCUCCCUCUCUCUUUUUCUACUCCCCUAAUCUCAUCUUCUCAUUUCAACUCCCCAUUUAACUUUCUCAUUUUCCCCCAUUUCAGGUUAUUUUUGGUCGCUGCUGAGUUUGGUUGCUCUCUAUUUCAGGUGAUAGUAUGAUUGGCAAUUCCAGCGGUGAUGAUGAAAGGGAGAAGUAAGAUAUUUUACAACGCAUGGAAUGUUUUUAAUUGGGUAUAUGAGAAUAUUAUUGAUCGAGAAGAUAUGCAUGAUGGACAAAGUAACGAUGAUGAUGAUGAUGAUGGUAAAUCAAACAAUUCAAAUGGUUUUGAAAUGGGAUUAACAA